rnacentral:misc_RNA from 1 species
GAUGAAGAACGUAGCGAAAUGCGAUACUUGGUGUGAAUUGCAGAAUUCAGUGAAUCAUCGAAUCUUUGAACGCACAUUGCGCCCGCCAGUAUUCUGGCGGGCAUGCCUGUUCGAGCGUCAUUUCAACCAUCAAGCCCCCGGCUUGUGUUGGGGACCUGCGGCUGCCGCAGGCCCUGAAAAGCAGUGGCGGGCUCGCUGUCACACCGAGCGUAGUAGCAUACAUCUCGCUCUGGGCGUGCUGCGGGUUCCGGCCGUUAAACCACCUUCAUAACCCAAGGUUGACCUCGGAUCAGGUAGGAAGACCCGCUGAACUUAAGCAUAUCAAUAAGCGGAGGA